AUUUUGAUAUAAGCGUCACCGGAAUGCUGGCCAACCUUAAACACAUUCUAUAGAAUGUGUUUAAGGUUCUCCAGCAUUCCGGUGACGCUUAUAU
rnacentral:pre_miRNA from 1 species